UGGGGAAUAUUGGACAAUGGGCGAAAGCCUGAUCCAGCGACGCCGCGUGUGUGAAGAAGGCCUGCGGGUUGUAAAGCACUUUCGAUGGGAACGAAAUGUGCCGGGUUAAUACCCCGGUAAGCUGACGUUACUCAAUGAAGAAGCACCGGCUAACUCUGUGCCAGCAGCCGCGGUAAUACAGAGGGUGCGAGCGUUAAUCGGAAUUACUGGGCGUAAAGCGCACGUAGGUGGUUUUGUAAGUCGGAUGUGAAAGCCCUCGGCUUAACCGGGGAAGUGCAUUCGAAACUGCCAGACUUGAGUAUGGGAGAGGGUCGCGGAAUUCCCGGUGUAGAGGUGAAAUUCGUAGAUAUCGGGAGGAACACCAGUGGCGAAGGCGGCGACCUGGACCAAUACUGACGCUGAGGUGCGAAAGCGUGGGGAGCAAACAGGAUUAGAUACCCCCGUAGUCCCUGAGCGGGCUGGCAAGGCGCAU
rnacentral:rRNA from 1 species